rnacentral:rRNA from 1 species
AACGCACCUUGCGCUCCUCGGUAUUCCGAGGAGCAUGCCUGUUUGAGUGUCAUUAAAUUCUCAACCUUACCAACUUUGUUGUCUGGUAAAGGCUUGGAUGUGGGGGUUUUGCUGGCUUCGUCAAGAGGUCGGCUCUCCUUAAAUGUAUUAGCUGGUGCCCCGUGUGGAGCGUCCAUUGGUGUGAUACUUGUUUUGUUCACCUCGUCGCCGGCUUUGUCUCGCGGGCUUCUGUUCGGCGCUUCGAAACCCCAGAGUCGUCUUCGGACGGCCGCUUGACAAUCUGACCUCAAAUCAGGUAGGACUACCCGCUGAACUUAA